CCUACGGGUGGCUGCAGUGAGGAAUAUUGGUCAAUGGGCGCGAGCCUGAACCAGCCAAGCCGCGUGAAGGAAGACGGUACUGCGUAUCGUAAACUUCUUUUGUCAGGGAACAAAGUCAGGCACUAGUCCCCGGAUGAGUGUACCUGAAGAAAAAGCAUCGGCUAACUCCGUGCCAGCAGCCGCGGUAAUACGGAGGAUGCGAGCGUUAUCCGGAUUUAUUGGGUUUAAGGGGUGCGCAGUGGGCUUGUUAAGUCAGCGGUAAAAGCCCGGGGCUCAACCCCGAAGAGCCGUUGAAACUGGCGGGCUGGAGUUGGAGAGAGGUACGCGGAAUGCGCGGUGUAGCGGUGAAAUGCUUAGAUAUCGCGCAGAACCCCGAUUGCGAAGGCAGCGUACCAGCUCGACACUGACGCUGAGGCACGAAAGCGUGGGUAUCGAACAGGAUUAGAUACCCCAGUAGUC
rnacentral:rRNA from 1 species